AUGGUUCCAUGUCGCCCCGCUCGGGCAGCUGCGUGUCUCCCGCUGGUGCUGAUACUUUGCCUCCUCUCGUGCGCCGCCGCGAGGCCUGCGCCGGCGCCGGCGCCGGUGCACGGCCGGCACCAUGGCCAAGGGUGGCACUCGUUCAAGCGGCUGCUAGACGCGCAGCGGGGGACCCGUGUGACGGGGCUCGGCGACCUGAAGCGCUACCUGGCCAUGUUCGGCUACAUGCCCAAGCAUGCCGGGCCGGAGCACGGCGGCGACCCGACGGACGCCUUCGACGAGCACCUCGAGGCCGCCGUCAAACGGUACCAGUCCCGGCUCAGCCUGCCUGUCACCGGCCAGCUCGACGUCGUGACGCUCGAUCAGAUGAUGUCCCCGCGCUGCGGCGUCCAGGACGACCACGGCGCGUCCGUCUCGCCAGAGCACGGCGGCGCGGUCAGUCGGUUCACGUUCUUCAAGGGCAAGCCGCGGUGGACGCGGCGGUCGGACCCGGACCCGGUCGUGCUCACGUACGCCGUGUCGCCGACGGCCACCGUCGGCUACCUGCCAGCCGACGACGUGAGGGCCGUGUUCCGGCGCGCGUUCGAGCGGUGGGCGCGGGUCAUCCCCGUGGCGUUCGUCGAGACGGACGACUACGACGAGGCCGAGAUCAAGGUGGGGUUCUACGAGGGCAGCCACGGCGACGGGGUGCCCUUUGACGGGCCGCUCGGCGUGCUCGGCCACGCCUUCUCUCCCAAGAACGGGCGGCUCCACCUCGACGCCGCUGAGCAGUGGGCGGUGGACUUCGCCGGCGAAACGAAAGCCUCGGCGGCCAUCGACCUUGAGUCCGUGGCGACUCACGAGAUCGGCCACGUCCUCGGGCUCGGACACUCGACUUCGCCGCAGGCCGUCAUGUACCCGAGCAUCAAGCCGCUGGAGAAGAAGGCCGACCUCACCGUCGACGACGUCGAAGGCGUGCAGCUGCUGUACGGGUCCAACCCGGAUUUCAGGCUCAGCUCCCUCUACGACGCGACGGACACCUCCGGCUCGCCGGCAGGGAGCAGUUGGUCUGCUUCCUCGGCUGGGUUAGUUCUUUGUGCGGUCCUGGUCAUACUUGUGACGCACUUGUAG
rnacentral:rRNA from 1 species